rnacentral:rRNA from 1 species
AGUGAACGCUGGCGGUAGGCCUAACACAUGCAAGUCGAACGGCAGCACAGUAAGAGCUUGCUCUUACGGGUGGCGAGUGGCGGACGGGUGAGGAAUACAUCGGAAUCUACUUUUUCGUGGGGGAUAACGUAGGGAAACUUACGCUAAUACCGCAUACGACCUACGGGUGAAAGCAGGGGAUCUUCGGACCUUGCGCGAUUGAAUGAGCCGAUGUCGGAUUAGCUAGUUGGCGGGGUAAAGGCCCACCAAGGCGGCGAUCCGUAGCUGGUCUGAGAGGAUGAUCAGCCACACUGGAACUGAGACACGGUCCAGACUCCUACGGGAGGCAGCAGUAGGGAAUAUUGGACAAUGGGCGCAAGCCUGAUCCAGCCAUACCGCGUGAGUGAAGAAGGCCUUCGGGUUGUAAAGCCCUUUUGUUGGGAAAGAAAAGCAGCAGGUUAAUACCCCGCUGUUCUGACGGUACCCAAAGAAUAAGCACCGGCUAACUUCGUG